UUUUACUUUAAUCAAUAUGUUGAGAUAUAAUUCUCUUACAGUCUAAGUGUCUUUUCACUACUUUGUGAUACCUCCUGGCCCUGCAAUACAAGACUGAAUGCGCCGAGUUACACUACCGAUAAGUUGAACAUUUU